AACGAACGCUGGCGGCAGGCUUAACACAUGCAAGUCGAACGCAUCCUUCGGGGUGAGUGGCAGACGGGUGAGUAACGCGUGGGAAUCUACCCAGUUCUACGGAACAACAGAGGGAAACUUCUGCUAAUACCGUAUACGCCCUAUGGGGGAAAGAUUUAUCGGAAUUGGAUGAGCCCGCGUAAGAUUAGCUAGUUGGUGAGGUACCGGCUCACCAAGGCGACGAUCCAUAGCUGGUCUGAGAGGAUGAUCAGCCACACUGGGACUGAGACACGGCCCAGACUCCUACGGGAGGCAGCAGUGGGGAAUAUUGGACAAUGGGCGCAAGCCUGAUCCAGCCAUGCCGCGUGAGUGAUGAAGGCCUUAGGGUUGUAAAGCUCUUUCAGUGGGGACGAUAAUGACGGUACCCACAGAAGAAGCCCCGGCUAACUUCGUGCCAGCCGCCGCCGUAA
rnacentral:rRNA from 1 species